GUCCACGCCGUAAACGAUGGAUGCUAGCCGUCAGGAAGCUUGCUUUUUGGUGGCGCAGCUAACGCUUUAAGCAUCCCGCCUGGGGAGUACGGCCGCAAGGUUAAAACUCAAAGGAAUUGACGGGGGCCCGCACAAGCGGUGGAGCAUGUGGUUUAAUUCGACGCAACGCGAAGAACCUUACCAGCCCUUGACAUGUACCGGAAUGCUCGGAGAGAUUCGGGCAGCCGCAAGGCCGGUACACAGGUGUUGCAUGGCUGUCGU
rnacentral:rRNA from 1 species